AGUCGAGGGGUAUAGUUCUUCGGAACUAGAGACCGGCGCACGGGUGCGUAACGCGUAUGCAAUCUACCUUUCACAGAGGGAUAGCCCAGAGAAAUUUGGAUUAAUACCUCAUAGUAUAAUGAGUUGGCAUCAACACAUUAUUAAAGUCACAACGGUGAAAGAUGAGCAUGCGUCCCAUUAGCUAGAUGGUAAGGUAACGGCUUACCAUGGCUACGAUGGGUAGGGGUCCUGAGAGGGAGAUCCCCCACACUGGUACUGAGACACGGACCAGACUCCUACGGGAGGCAGCAGUGAGGAAUAUUGGACAAUGGGCGCAAGCCUGAUCCAGCCAUGCCGCGUGCAGGAUGACGGUCCUAUGGAUUGUAAACUGCUUUUGUACAGGAAGAAACACUGGUUCGUGAACCAGCUUGACGGUACUGUAAGAAUAAGGAUCGGCUAACUCCGUGCCAGCAGCCGCGGUAAUACGGAGGAUCCAAGCGUUAUCCGGAAUCAUUGGGUUUAAAGGGUCCGUAGGCGGUUUAGUAAGUCAGUGGUGAAAGCCCAUCGCUCAACGGUGGAACGGCCAUUGAUACUGCUAAACUUGAAUUAUUAGGAAGUAACUAGAAUGUGUAGUGUAGCGGUGAAAUGCUUAGAGAUUACAUGGAAUACCAAUUGCGAAGGCAGGUUACUACUAAUGGAUUGACGCUGAUGGACGAAAGCGUGGGUAGCGAACAGGAUUAGAUACCCUGGUAGUCC
rnacentral:rRNA from 1 species